ensembl:lncRNA
UACAUCACUUAAACCCAUGACACAGCUGCAUGGGCCCGCGAGGCACCUGCCCCUUAGGAGCCUUCCAAGACAGUAGCUGGAACCUCAGAGGUGGAACUCCUCCAGAAAGCCCUCUUCUUCAAAACGCUGCCUGUAGCACUGGAGUAUGGCACCCUGAAGUCAUGCAAACAACUCACAUCAUCCUUAUCAAGAGAGAGGGUUCACAACAGCCCAUCUUUCAAGUUUAUCAAGGUCCCUCUGGAUGGUAUCUCUUCCUUCCACUGUAUCAACCGCAUUGCUCAGUGUGGUGUCAUCAGCAAACUUGCUGAGGGUGCACUCAAUCCCAUCAUCUAUGUCAUUGAUAAAGAUGUUAAAGAGUACUGGUCCCAAGACAGACCCCUGAGGGACACCGCUUGUUACUGACAUCGCCUGAACACAGAGCCAUUGACCACAGCCUUCUGUCUGCAACCAUACAACCAAGUCCUUAUUGCAAUGAAUAGUCCACGCUUCAAAUCCAUAUUUCUCCAAUUCAGAGAUAAGGAUGUGAUGUGGGACCAUGUCAAAGGCCUUGCAGAAGUCCAGGUGCCAUCUGCUGAGCUAACAGAAACCAGCUGGUUGCUGGGUUCUACAAAGGGAAGCUUACAGCAAACUGAAAGCAUACUCAUUCUGGUGGUGCCCAAAGCACAGACUCCAUCACCACUGCAAAGAACAAGACCUGAGGAUGUUACAGCCAACACACUGAGGUUUGUAAGAGCAGAAUUAUUUCUUCCCUCGAGAUUUCUGCAAAGGAACAUGAGAGCAGAGAACAUUUUAACAAGGAGAUAUUCAACAGGUAGCUGAUCGUGAAACAUAAUGUUUGACAGUACAGGAAGUCUCUUUGUACUUGAAUUAUUUUGAAUUGCUAUUGCUCAAUCUUUUUGUAAAUGGUUAAUUGAGAAGAUUUUUUUCAUAUGAAAACAUUUCCCCUCCUUCUUUAUUAUUAUGAACUUUGUACAAAUCAGGCAAAGAUGGACCUUGAAAGAUAAUCUCUCUGAAAGUGCUAGACACAAAAUCCUAGCUGUAUAUGUUAAGAGACUCCAUUCAAGUAAUAUUAAAUAAAUAGAUACCCUGACCUUCUUAAGGUGUCUCAAACUUCACUUUCAGUUGUUUCAUCUCCCAUAUAUCUUGGAAAAAUAUGGGAAUUUUAUUUUCUACAGUACGCUUUUCUUCUCAGGGAGGUGAUCCUGCCCCUCUACUCUGCGCUGGUGAGGCCUCACCUGGAGUAUUGCAUCCAGAUGUGGAGUCCUCAGUACAGGAGAGACAUAGACCUGAGUGUGUCCAGAGGAUGGCAGCAAAAAUGAUCCAAGUGAUGUGACACCUCUCCUACAAGGACAGGCUGUGAGAGCUGGGGCUGCUCCAGGUAGACUUGGUAGCGACCUUUCAGUAUCUAAAGAGGGGCUGAAAGAAAGAAAGGGACAGACUCUUUAGCAGGGUUUUUAGCUUUUGAGAUAGGACAGGCAGAAAUUAUUUCAAACUAAGAGAUUUAGAAGGGAUAUAAGAAAAAAUGUUUUUUAUGAUAGGGUUAGUGAAACAGUGAAAUAGGUUGCCCCAGGAUGUGGUGGAGGAGUGGUCCCUAGAGACACUGAAGGUCAGACUGGAUGGGACUCUGAGCAACCUGAUAUAGCUGUAGAUGUCUGUUUGUUGCAAGGAAGUUAGACUAGAUGACCUUUAAAGGUCCCUUCUAACUCAACUCCUACACUUCCACAUUCAAUUUCCUUCUGCUUAGAAAAUUCUGUUGUUCUAUCAGAUGUCUUUGAAAUAGUCCAAGUCACAUCUGUCAAGCACAUUCUAAGUUUUUGUCUUUGAAUAGUAACACCCAGCAGAUGUGCUUUUAAGUAAGGUAUUAACCAACCUCUGCUCUUAGCUUGAAAAAAGCAUCUUCCAGCUCUGACACUGCACUGUCCAGAUGAAAAAUCUGAUGCAUGCCUCUAUAAUUGAAAGGAAAAAAAAAAAAAGCAAUAUGAAGCAACCAAUAUGGUCUUUGUUUAACAAGUCCUCCAGAAAGCAACUUUUGUAAAUAGACCUGACUGAGAAUUCCUCUGAACUGCAGUUUGGAAAUUCUAGCUGCAGGCCACAUCUAUUUUCCUGAUUAGGUUUUCUAAAUCUUUUACUUUGUAACAGCUGUUGACAACAUAAACACUAAUUGCACCUCUGAACAACAGUCGUCUCUUUUGAACUGUUUGGUACAUAAUGAAAAUAGACUGCAGAGAUAAGAAAACAAUCUUCAAAUCUUCUUAUUCUGCUCACAACUCAAUUCGAAAGGUUUAUCCUUUGCUGACAUUAAUGUGUACUUUUGAUAAUAGGUGAAAAUUACUUCACAAUUACUUCAAAAGCAGUAAUUAUGUUUUAGAAACUAUACCUAACUUCUACUUAGAUUUGUUUACUUUUGUCCCCAUUCUCACUAAGGAAAUGAUAUUGUCAGACUACUGGCAGACCUCUAAAAUGAAGUGGGAAGGCUCAUUUCUAUUGCUAUCAACCUCCAUUUCUCUUCUAAGCAUUUCUGCAGCAGCAUAUUUGAGAAGUCCUUGAAGGAAAAAAGGCAGAAUUUAAUGAAUGACAGUAUUUCCAGGACAGCAAUCAAUUUCAACAGCAUGAAAUUCCUUUACUUUUCCAGUCAGAAAAAUAAGUGUACUUUACAGAUCUUUUCAAGUGUAAAUACGGGUCUCUAAGAUUAUCUAGUUGAUUAAUAAUUACAUUGGACUAGUUUUUCUAGCCAAGCAGCUCUUGGUCUAACCAAAAUAAUAAUUUUCCCAAUAAACUUUGCCUUACUUACAGCUAACACAUUUUGCAUUUGGCCAGCUAGCCAUUAGUGGCUUCUAGCAAUGCUGAUAAGGUCUUUUAGCUAUUACUCAUCCAUGUGCUUGACACGAACAUACUGACUAUGAUUAAAUGAACUGCGUUUGGUUUCUUUCUUUUUUGCCAUCCAAAAGUCAUUCCUCAUAACUAGCUCCUUCUUUCCCUAAGUAUGCUUAUCAAGAUAAAAUAACUUCUUAUCACUUUAUUUUUACUACUGCUUUUAGUGGCACUGACAAAUGUUACUACAGCUCUCAAACACUCCGAGUUUUGUUUGGGAACACCUAUGUUCUAUUUUCUGAUAAUCUCUUCUUUGUUUAAACUAUUAACAAAUUGUGCUCAUUUCUACAUUACUUACAUCUCAAAACAUUUGUAUUUCUUUCUUACCAUAUUAACUUAUAUGCAGUCUACCUCCUCUUUAUUAUCUGGUACUGUUUAUAAUGUCUCCUAGAAUCACCAAAGUUGGAAAAGACCUCCAAGAUCAUCUAGGCCUUCCUAGUAAGUGAAUCUUUCUUGCUCACGUACCCUUUACUGUAAGCAAACUCAUGCUUCUUGUCUAUGAAGAUUGAUGCAAUAUUAUGUCUGGGUUAGUUUAUCACAAAUAGGUGUAUCCCUCUGGCAAAACAGUUGUUACAGUGACUGGAGUUGGAGGAUCAAAAAACGCAAUCUCAGCUCAGGGGCAUGUGGACAGAGUUGCAUCACAUGUAUACAUGACGUUAGAAGAGUCAGAUCUGUGGUUCUGGGAGCAUUCUAGGCACUUCUCUUUGGAUUUCCUGUCUGAGUGUGGUGCUACAUAAUCUUAUCCAACACAUUGUGUUAGAAGGCUAACUAAUGGGCUUUUAAGGCAGGAGGUUGUUUUUCCCGUCUGAGCUAGCAGUUGGAUCUGGAAUACCCUAUGCGAUAUUCGUUGCUUGCUUUGGUUGAUUCCAUGAUCAAAGUCUUCAAAUAAGAGGAGCUAUACUAUUUUUAUUAGACGUUUGUAAAAAGAAUUGCUAAUCCAGUCCUUGGUAGAAAAUAGGUUUAAAAUUCUGGCUGACUUCAUCAAAGGAACAACUUAAAUGGCUUUGCCAGGUCAGACAAUUACACCCACUGUGUUUGGUUUUGUGAAGUCACUUUCAGUCAUGCCCGUUGAUCGUGCAAGGAACUGCCAGGGCAGAAGUGCAGCCAUGCUCUGGUGACACAGAGCAAGUUCUUGUUGUUGCAGGCAGCUGGGAGUCCUCCAGAAACCCAGCUAGGAUAUCCAGCCAUGGCUUCAGCUGCCUCAUAGUCAGCCCCUGCAUGCGGCAACUGUGUGGUGAUGAUGUAAAACCACGAGAAUAGCUCAACUUGGUCAGAAGAGUAGAUUUCACCUGUAUUGCACUACUUCAAUCAAAGCAAGAGGUGGGUUGAAAACUGUGAUGGUACAAGGAGGUGUAUAGUGUGAGAGUGGUGGAAAAAAGUGAACAUAACAUCUGUUAUGCAGAGUAGCAAAUAUAAUCAUACUGCGAAGUAUCCUCUUUGUUCCUGUCCUUUGGAUAGAAGUAGAGACCGGUUAUUGAAUGGCUCGCUGGGCUGUUGUGCUUUCAAUCACCUUUGGGGUUGCAGAAUAUCAUUUUAGCUCCUCCUGCUGAAAUUUUUAUAAAUAGGCAUCUUAUGUUUUUCACUUUCAAUGGAAUUCUUCUGAAUAUUCAGAAAUGAAUCUGCACAUACACAAGAGAAGCAAACAAGCGUGAGUUAACUGAAGAUGAGCCAGCAUAUGUCUUGUUAAGGUAAAAUUCAUGCACUUUAAAUCAUCACAGCUGCAUUAAACAUAACACCAUCCUCUUGAUGUGGAGAUUUGUUUUGAAACAUUUGCAGUUAUUCAUUAGAGUAAAUAAGCAGGUGAAAUAUUAAUAAAUACUGUGAUAGAUUUAUGGAUGAAAUUCCAGAGAAGAAUAUAUAUACAAGGGCUAUUACGUAGGUUGGACACAGCUGUCUCUUCUGCUACAGCCAUAAUAUAUUAUUAAUACUUUAACUGGCUUAAGUAGCCACAGAAACUGUCAUUUUAGGUUCAGAUAAAAUCAGUAACCCCACAGCACUGUUACAAAAACACGUAUACAAAUUAAUAACACUGAUGUUGUUUGUAAUAGUAGCAUGUAUGUUAGUGUAAGUGUGAGCAAAGGGAGAAACUGAAGUCAAUAAAAUGCACGUCAGUGCUUCUUCUGAAUUCUUCCACUGAGUAUAUAUCAUUACCUCAUCCAUCAGUUGACCGGAGGCCUGGCUUUCGCCAUCACACGGCAGCAAUAAGCAUAAAGCCAGAAGCACAUAAACAAAGGUUUCCCAAUACCUUCAGCUCAAAGCAUGCCACAGACACCAUCGCACCCACAUAUACCCCACCACACACGCACACGUACACAUGCACUGCUUUCUGAGUCAUUUUUGCCUCUUCUUUCACCUCACGCACUAUUCUCAAAGGACUGUGUAACUGAGAACACAGAAACUGUGUUAGCGUGCAUUCAUGCCCAUAUCCUCCACUGUAAGUUAGGGAUCAUAACUGAAAGAAUGAUAAUACCUGAGAUAUUAAAUGCACCUAUAAUGGCUUUUACAUCUUUUCAUUCUGUUUUAUGUAUGUGUGUGUGUGUGCCUGUGCGUGUCUGUAUGAGUGGGUUUGCAAUGAUUGUCUCUGUUAGUAACCCACCGAAGGACAACUCCAAACUAAAGAAAAGGGUUUUGCUCCCUCUCUUCUGUAGCCACCCUCAUUCAAAAUGAUGGAGAUGCAAGUGAUGAUGAUGGCAAAGGAAAUUCUACUGUCUGAGGUAAGAUUUCCAAUCAAUGAGAGAAUAAGCGAUGUCACAAAAGCACCCAAUGCCAGCGUCUGAUCACAGCCGUUCCAAGUCUCAGCACAUCUACUUUUUUUCCCCACUUUCACUUGGAAGAGAUGUUGUGUAAGGUCUGUGAGUAGGUUCAUAAAGUGGGCUUCUAAAGCAAUCUGUUUCACUGCCUUACACAGAUUUUGUCCCCUGCCUUCAGCCUCCUCUCUCCUUUCUUUUAGAGCACCUUUUCUCUCAAAAAAUGGCUAUAUAUGAAAUAGAUGUGAGAGCAUCCAUCCUUCUGGCUUCGUGUUAGCAAGCUUCUCUACUUUCUUUGAGCCUUCCAGUGCACGUUCUUUCAGACUUUUGUAUGAUGACCACGUAGUGUCACUACGCUCUCCUGAUGUUCCCAUCACAUUUCUAGAGAUCCAUCAGAUCUCACAUGUUGGGAAAAGACUGUUACUUUGCUCCAGCUAAGUACUUUUUCCAAAAUAUAUUGAAAACAAAGAGGAGAGAGCUCUUUUUUGGCCAGUGACCCCGCAAGCCAGAAGAGGCAGGUUGGCUCAGUCUGAUGUCAGCAACAAAAUGCCCAGCAUCCCGGUCCCGUGUGUUGUGUGGCU